rnacentral:rRNA from 1 species
AUUGAACGCUGGCGGCAGGCCUAACACAUGCAAGUCGAACGAGUGGCGGACGGGUGAGUAAUGUCUGGGAAACUGCCUGAUGGAGGGGGAUACCUACUGGAAACGGUAGCUAAUACCGCAUACCAUCGGAUGUGCCCAGAUGGGAUUAGCUAGUCGGUGGGGUAAAGGCUCACCUAGGCGACGAUCCCUAGCUGGUCUGAGAGGAUGACCAGCCACACGGGAACUUAGACACGGCCCAGACUCCUACGGGAGGCAGCAGUGGGGAAUAUUGCACAAUGGGCGCAAGCCUGAUGCAGCCAUGCCGCGUGUAUGAAGAAGGCCUUCGGGUUGUAAAGUACUUUCAGCUGGGAGGCGUUACCCGCAGAAGAAGCACCGGCUAACUCCGUGCCAGCAGCCGCGGUAAUUC